rnacentral:rRNA from 1 species
GAUGAACGCUAGCUACAGGCUUAACACAUGCAAGUCGAGGGGAAACGGCAUUAAGUGCUUGCACUUUUUGGACGUCGACCGGCGCACGGGUGAGUAACGCGUAUCCAACCUUCCCAUGACUAAGGGAUAACCUGCCGAAAGGCAGACUAAUACCUUAUGGUCUUCACUGACGGCAUCAGAUGUGAAGUAAAGAUUUAUCGGUUAUGGAUGGGGAUGCGUCUGAUUAGCUUGUUGGCGGGGUAACGGCCCACCAAGGCAACGAUCAGUAGGGGUUCUGAGAGGAAGGUCCCCCACAUUGGAACUGAGACACGGUCCAAACUACUACGGGAGGCAGCAGUGAGGAAUAUUGGUAAAGGGGCGAGAGCCUGAACCAGCCAAGUAGCGUGCAGGAUGACGGCCCUAUGGGUUGUAAACUGCUUUUGUAUGGGGAUAAAGUCAAUCACGUGUGAUUGUUUGCAGGUACCAUACGAAUAAGGACCGGCUAAUUCCGUG